rnacentral:rRNA from 1 species
CCUACGGGGGGCAGCAGUGGGGAAUAUUGGACAAUGGGCGAAAGCCUGAUCCAGCCAUGCCGCGUGUGUGAAGAAGGCCUUCGGGUUGGAAAGCACUUUCAGUGGGGAAGAAAGCCUUGGGGCUAAUACCCUAGAGGAAGGACAUCACCCACAGAAGAAGCACCGGCUAACUCCGUGCCAGCAGCCGCGGUAAUACGGAGGGUGCGAGCGUUAAUCGGAAUUACUGGGCGUAAAGCGCGCGUAGGCGGUCUGAUAAGCCGGUUGUGAAAGCCCCGGGCUCAACCUGGGAACGGCAUCCGGAACUGUCAGGCUAGAGUGCAGGAGAGGAAGGUAGAAUUCCCGGUGUAGCGGUGAAAUGCGUAGAGAUCGGGAGGAAUACCAGUGGCGAAGGCGGCCUUCUGGACUGACACUGACGCUGAGGUGCGAAAGCGUGGGUAGCAAACAGGAUUAGAUACCCUAGUAGUC